rnacentral:snRNA from 1 species
ACUCUUGUUUCUCUCAGAUCGUACAAAUCUUUCGCCUUUUACUAAAGAUUUCCGUGGAGAGGAACAACAAGAGUAUAUCCCAUUUUUGUUGCCCUGCUUUAGUGGGGC